CAUUUCAGGCUCUCCACAUCAUAUGUGACUGACUUUUACGUUAUAAUGAUCACACACUAGGAAUGUUAUAAAGCGCCUAUAUAGGACAGUUUCUUUUGUAUAUUAUCUGACUUUAUAAACUCCCAACAACAAUGUGCUUAUAUAUUUUUUUCAGGCUAAAUCUACCCAAGACACUGGCUGUCAGACUGAUUUAGCUGCAAGAAUGCACUUGUCCAGGCUGAUGUGAAACCUUCCCUGUAGCAAAGCCAGCCAGAAUGGAGUUCACAGCCGCAGUGUGUCUGGUGACCCACGGGGACCAUGAUGAAAAUUCAUCUUCCAGAAGGUCCCAGAGCAGCGGCCACACCCCCUGAAAAGACCAAGGUGUGAGGUGUCUGCUGUUGAUUCCAGCUUCCACCUCAGUGACAGUGCAAGCUCAGUGAACUGUUCAAGGUAAAAAAAAAAAAAUUAAAACAUUUCAGAAUUUUUAAGAUAUUAACAAUUAAAUAAGUAUGUGAUUACAUCAUGACGGAGGCUACUGAUUCUGCCCCCGUGACACUUGGUGGUGACGUGUGAGCUGAUUCACCUGGAAAACAACUUUUACAUUAAAUAUUUUGUUUUUGCUAUCAAAAGUAAAUUAACUAAUAACCUGCAUUAUUGCAGGACACUCAGCAAAAUAUGGACUCUACACCAUGAGGCAGGCACACGUUAAUAACUCUAUAAGAGCACAUAAGCCUGGCUGAUCACCUGAUAACUCCUGUCAUCUGGUUAUGACAGCAUGAGGAUGUCCUCACACCUGUAACCUAUCAGCUCAUCUGGCAGAAUAGAGAGAGAUGAGACAACACCACACCUCCUGUUCCUGGAAAGCCUUCAGCCAUCCUUCGAUGACUGAGAACCUCCAUCAGCUCUGUCUCCUGUCUGCCUACAAUUAUUAUAAUAAAUAUUGUGUUUGACAAGUU